rfam:Beta vulgaris subsp. vulgaris Bvchr2.sca013.con0033.1, whole genome shotgun sequence.
UAACCAUGGUGAGGACAAGAUCUUCGAAGCUCCUUGAACCUAUCCCAAGCUCCAUAUAAUGUCCCAUCCUCCUUUUGGGUGAAAUUAGCUAUCUUCCUCCUAGAUUCA